CGGGGCCCCAGGUCGGGCGG
rnacentral:rRNA from 1 species